AUUGAACGCUGGCGGCAGGCCUAACACAUGCAAGUCGAACGGUAACAGGAAGCAGCUUGCUGCUUUGCUGACGAGUGGCGGACGGGUGAGUAAUGUCUGGGAAACUGCCCGAUGGAGGGGGAUAACUACUGGAAACGGUAGCUAAUACCGCAUAACGUCGCAAGACCAAGAGGGGGGACCUAAGGGCUCUUGGCCUCCGAUUUUCCCAGAUGGGAUUAGCUAGUAGGUGGGGUAACGGCUCACCUAGGCGACGAUCCCUAGCUGGUCUGAGAGGAUGACCAGCCACACUGGAACUGAGACACGGUCCAGACUCCUACGGGAGGCAGCAGUGGGGAAUAUUGCACAAUGGGCGCAAGCCUGAUGCAGCCAUGCCGCGUGUAUGAAGAAGGCCUUCGGGUUGUAAAGUACUUUCAGCGGGGAGGAAGGGAGUAAAGUUAAUACCUUUGCUCAUUGACGUUACCCGCAGAAGAAGCACCGGCUAACUCCGUG
rnacentral:rRNA from 1 species